rnacentral:rRNA from 1 species
GACGAACGCUGGCGGCGUGCCUAAUACAUGCAAGUAGAACGCUGAAGGAGGAGCUUGCUUCUCUGGAUGAGUUGCGAACGGGUGUGUAACGCGUAGGAAACCUGCCCGUUAGCGGGGGAUAACUAUUGGAAACGAUAGCUAAUACCGCAUAAGAGUAGAUGUCGAAUGACAUUUGCUUAAAAGGUGCAAUUGCAUCACUACCAGAUGGACCUGCGUUGUAUUAGCUAGUUGGUGAGGUAACGGCGCACCAAGGCAACGAUACAUAGCCGACCUGAGAGGGUGAGCGGCCACACUGGGACUGAGACACGGCCCAGACUCCUACGGGAGGCAGCAGUAGGGAAUCUUCGGCAAUGGACGGAAGUCUGACCGAGCAACGCCGCGUGAGUGAAGAAGGGUUUCGGGUCGUAAAGCUCUGUUGUAAGAGAAGAACGAGUGUGGGAGUGGAAAGUUCACACUGUGACGGUAUCUGACCAGAAAGGGACGGCUAACUACGUG